CCUACGGGACGCAGCAGUGGGGGAUAUUGCACAAUGGGGGAAACCCUGAUGCAGCAACGCCGCGUGAGUGAUGACGGCCUUCGGGGUGUAAAGCUCUGUCUUCAGGGACGAUGAUGACGGUACCUGAGGAGGAAGCCCCGGCUAACUACGUGCCAGCAGCCGCGGUAAUACGUAGGUGGCGAGCGUUGUCCGGAUUUACUGGGCGUAAAGGGAGCGUAGGCGGACUGGUAAGCGAGAUGUGAAAUACUGGGGCUCAAC
rnacentral:rRNA from 1 species